rnacentral:misc_RNA from 1 species
CUACAGUAUGACAUGCGCUCAGCUAACGUAUAAAAGCAAUCGCCAUGACGUCAUAUAAAUUACGUCACAUUCUUCAGAGGAAGAGAAAACCUAAUGAUUUUGAAAACAUGAAGGUGAAGUUUGAUGAGUUGACGUUCACAAGUUGAAGACUCUACGGCUUGAAGAUUCAUAAACUGACCUUCCAGAAGUCGAGGUCAGAACUGGACACCAUGACCCUCCAACUCCAAGGUCAGUGAGGAGCUGGCGAAAGUGAAGGACGAGCUGAAGGUGAAGGACUCUGAGCUGGCCGAAACUCGCCGAUCUGUCCGAAAAAUUCCGGACCUUCACGAAUUUUCACGAUCUUAUUAAGAGAAGAGCUAUAUAAUUAGGACAAUAAUUGUUAACUAUUAAUCUGUAUAUUCAUGAAUUUUUGUCUGUGUAUGUCUAAUGUGUAUUUGUAUUAAAAACACAAAGGUGUAUUUUUUAUA